UGAUUCUAGUGUCACUACCACAGGUGUUCAUGAGAAAUUUCUUCCAAGUGGGUGCAAAAGACCUUUGGAUUAUUUUAGGAGUUUUCAUGCAGGAUUUUAGUGAUUAAUAAGACAUGGAGAUUACCGAGAUCUUGAAGAUAACAACUUAAUUCUUCAGGUGUGCCAAGUCAGGAUUUGGG
rnacentral:lncRNA from 1 species